rnacentral:rRNA from 1 species
GACGAACGCUGGCGGCGUGCUUAACACAUGCAAGUCGAACGGAAAGGCCCUGCUUUUGUGGGGUGCUCGAGUGGCGAACGGGUGAGUAACACGUGAGUAACCUGCCCUUGACUUUGGGAUAACUUCAGGAAACUGGGGCUAAUACCGGAUAGGAGCUCCUGCUGCAUGGUGGGGGUUGGAAAGUUUCGGCGGUUGGGGAUGGACUCGCGGCUUAUCAGCUUGUUGGUGGGGUAGUGGCUUACCAAGGCUUUGACGGGUAGCCGGCCUGAGAGGGUGACCGGCCACAUUGGGACUGGGGUACGGCCCAGACUCCUACGGGAGGCAGCAGUGGGGAAUAGUGCACAAUGGGCGGGAGCCUGAUGCAGCAACGCCGCGUGCGGGAUGACGGCCUUCGGGUUGUAAACCGCUUUCGCCUGUGACGAAGCGUGAGUGACGGUAAUGGGUAAAGAAGCAACGGCUAACUACGUG